GGUCAAGCGAACAAGUGCAUGUGGUGGAUGCCUUGGCGAUCACAGGCGAUGAAGGACGCGGUAGCCUGCGAAAAGCUACGGGGAGCUGGCAAACGAGCUUUGAUCCGUAGAUGUCCGAAUGGGGAAACCCACUCCGAAUGGAGUAUCCAUGACUGAAUACAUAGGUCAUGUGAAGCGAACGCGGUGAACUGAAACAUCUAAGUAACCGCAGGAAAAGAAAUCAACCGAGAUUCCCAGAGUAGUGGCGAGCGAAAUGGGAUCAGCCUGUACUCUUUAUCUUCAUUGUUAGUCGAAGGCUCUGGAAAGUGCCGCCAUAGCAGGUGAUAGCCCUGUAGACGAAAACAGCGAGGAAGAACUAGGUGUGCGACAAGUAGGGCGGGACACGUGAAAUCCUGUCUGAAGAUGGGGGGACCAUCCUCCAAGGCUAAAUACUCGUGAUCGACCGAUAGUGAACCAGUACCGUGAGGGAAAGGCGAAAAGAACCCCGGGAGGGGAGUGAAAUAGAUCCUGAAACCGCAUGCAUACAAACAGUAGGAGCCUCGCAAGGGGUGACUGCGUACCUUUUGUAUAAUGGGUCAGCGACUUACAUUCAGUGGCAAGCUUAACCGAUUAGGGCAGGCGUAGCGAAAGCGAGUCCGAACAGGGCGAUUCAGUCGCUGGGUGUAGACCCGAAACCAGGUGAUCUAUCCAUGGCCAGGAUGAAGGUGCGGUAACACGUACUGGAGGUCCGAACCCACUAACGUUGAAAAGUUAGGGGAUGAGCUGUGGAUAGGGGUGAAAGGCUAAACAAACCUGGAAAUAGCUGGUUCUCUCCGAAAACUAUUUAGGUAGUGCCUCGUGUAUCACCUUCGGGGGUAGAGCACUGUCAUGGUUGUGGGGUCCAUUGCGGAUUACUACGCCAUAGCAAACUCCGAAUACCGAAGAGUGCAAUCACGGGAGACAGACAUCGGGUGCUAACGUCCGGUGUCAAGAGGGAAACAACCCAGACCGCCAGCUAAGGUCCCCAAAUAUUGCUAAGUGGGAAACGAAGUGGGAAGGCUAAAACAGUCAGGAGGUUGGCUUAGAAGCAGCCAUCCUUUAAAGAAAGCGUAAUAGCUCACUGAUCGAGUCGUCCUGCGCGGAAGAUGUAACGGGGCUAAGCAAUAUACCGAAGCUGCGGAUGCACAUUUAUGUGCAUGGUAGGAGAGCGUUCCGUAAGCCUGCGAAGGUGCACUGGAAAGUGUGCUGGAGGUAUCGGAAGUGCGAAUGCUGACAUGAGUAGCGAUAAAGGGGUGAAAAGCCCCCUCGCCGUAAGCCCAAGGUUUCCUACGCAACGUUCAUCGGCGUAGGGUGAGUCGGCCCCUAAGGCGAGGCAGAAAUGCGUAGCUGAUGGGAAGCAGGUUAAUAUUCCUGCACCAUUGUUAAAUGCGAUGGGGGGACGGAUCGCGGAAGGUUGUCCGGGUGUUGGAAGUCCCGGUCCUUGCAUUGGAGAAGGCGCUUAGGCAAAUCCGGCGCGGAAUUCAAGGGUGCGAGGCCAUUCACUUCGGUGAAGAAGCAAUCGGAAGUGGUUCCAAGAAAAGCCUCUAAGCUUCAGUUUAACAAGACCGUACCGCAAACCGACACAGGUGGGCGAGAUGAGUAUUCUAAGGCGCUUGAGAGAACUCGGGAGAAGGAACUCGGCAAAUUGGUACCGUAACUUCGGGAUAAGGUACGCCCCUGUAGCUUGACUGGCUCGCGCCAGAAGGGUGAAGGGUUGCAAUAAACUGGUGGCUGCGACUGUUUAAUAAAAACACAGCACUCUGCAAACACGAAAGUGGACGUAUAGGGUGUGACGCCUGCCCGGUGCCGGAAGAUUAAAUGAUGGGGUGCAAGCUCUUGAUUGAAGUCCCGGUAAACGGCGGCCGUAACUAUAACGGUCCUAAGGUAGCGAAAUUCCUUGUCGGGUAAGUUCCGACCUGCACGAAUGGCGUAACGAUGGCCACACUGUCUCCUCCCGAGACUCAGCGAAGUUGAAGUGUUUGUGAUGAUGCAAUCUCCCCGCGGCUAGACGGAAAGACCCCAUGAACCUUUACUGUAGCUUUGCAUUGGACUUUGAACCGAUCUGUGUAGGAUAGGUGGGAGGCUAUGAAGCGUGGACGCCAGUCUGCGUGGAGCCGUCCUUGAAAUACCACCCUGGUUUGUUUGAGGUUCUAACCUUGGUCCGUAAUCCGGAUCGGGGACAGUGCAUGGUAGGCAGUUUGACUGGGGCGGUCUCCUCCCAAAGUGUAACGGAGGAGUACGAAGGUACGCUAGGUACGGUCGGAAAUCGUGCUGAUAGUGCAAUGGCAUAAGCGUGCUUAACUGCGAGACCGACAAGUCGAGCAGGUGCGAAAGCAGGUCAUAGUGAUCCGGUGGUUCUGUAUGGAAGGGCCAUCGCUCAACGGAUAAAAGGUACUCUGGGGAUAACAGGCUGAUACCGCCCAAGAGUUCAUAUCGACGGCGGUGUUUGGCACCUCGAUGUCGGCUCAUCUCAUCCUGGGGCUGUAGCCGGUCCCAAGGGUAUGGCUGUUCGCCAUUUAAAGAGGUACGUGAGCUGGGUUUAAAACGUCGUGAGACAGUUUGGUCCCUAUCUGCCGUGGGCGCUGGAUAUUUGAAGGGGGCUGCUCCUAGUACGAGAGGACCGGAGUGGACGAACCUCUGGUGUACCGGUUGUCACGCCAGUGGCAUCGCCGGGUAGCUAUGUUCGGAAGAGAUAACCGCUGAAAGCAUCUAAGCGGGAAACUCGCCUUAAGAUGAGAUAUCCCCGGGCUUCGAGCCCCUUGAAGGGUCGUUCAAGACCAGGACGUUGAUAGGUCAGGUGUGGAAGCGCAGUAAUGCGUUAAGCUAACUGAUACUAAUUGCCCGUAAGGCUUGAUCCU
rfam:Burkholderia sp. AD24 chromosome II sequence.